UUUUUUCUCUUUCACUUAACCUGAAGACCAGGCCUUCCAUGGCAGUCUAAUCUAGCCUCAGGGCCUGACUAAAACCUUAUCUCCGAGUCUCACCCAGUGUAUUAGCUUUCGUUCCUCUCAAGCUCUUUUGUUUAUAGAUGUUUUCAUGCAUAUGCCUCUAGAAUGUGCAAAGGAAGAGGUCCAAAAGGCCCAACAAAUUGCACGUGCAGGAAAUACUAAAGAUCCAGGUGCCAGAGCAUCCAAGUGAGAGCUGUUUCUACCUUCAGAGUAUUUCCGGAGUUAGCAAGGUAGCUGCACAGCGUCCACAACCUUGUCUUUCUCCUUCCUAUCUACUAGUAUAUGUUAUUAUCAAACUCAUCCUAUAUUGAUCAGACAAUAUCAGAUUGUAUUUUUAGUGGCUCAUGACUAGUGACACCGGGU